UACGUAAGGUGCGAGCGUUGUCCGGAAUUAUUGGGCGUAAAGGGCUCGUAGGCGGUUUGUCGCGUCGGGAGUGAAAACCUCGGGCUUAACUCGGGGCUUGCUUUCGAUACGGGCAGACUAGAGGUAUGCAGGGGAGAACGGAAUUCCUGGUGUAGCGGUGAAAUGCGCAGAUAUCAGGAGGAACACCGGUGGCGAAGGCGGAUCUCUGGGCAUGAUCUGACGCUGAGGAGCGAAAGUGUGGGGAGCGAACAGG
rnacentral:rRNA from 1 species